rnacentral:pre_miRNA from 4 species
UCUUAUGCAUGAGCAAAGAAAGUGGUUUCUUUAGAUGGAGUCUACUCCUGGUGAACUUGCUGUGAA